rnacentral:rRNA from 1 species
UUCGUAGGCGGUGCGGCAAGUCGGAAGUGAAAUCCCUGGGCUUAACUCAGGGGCUGCUCCCGAAACUGCCGUGCUCGAGUGCGGGAGAGGCGAGUGGAAUUGCAGGUGUAGCGGUGAAAUGCGUAGAUAUCUGCAGGAACACCCGUGGCGAAGGCGGCUCGCUGGACCGCAACUGACGCUGAGGAACGAAAGCUAGGGGAGCAAACAGGAUUAGAUACCCUGGUAGUCCUAGCCCUAAACCAUCAGGACUCGGGGUGCAUCCCGUUCGGGGUGCGUCCCGGAGCUAACGCGUUAAGUCCUGCGCCUGGGGAGUACGGUCGCAAGGCUGAA